rnacentral:rRNA from 1 species
AUUGAACGCUGGCGGCAGGCCUAACACAUGCAAGUCGAGCGAGCGGCGGACGGGGGAGUAAUAUGUGGGAAACUGCAUGAUGGAGGGGGAUAACCACUGGAAACGGUAGCUAAUAUCGCAUACGAUCAGAUGUGCCCAGAUGGGAUUAGCUAGUAGGUGGGGUAAUGGCUCACCUAGGCGACGAUACCUAGCUGGUCUGAGAGGAUGACCAGCCACACGGGAACUGAGAAACGGUCCAGACUCCUACGGGAGGCAGCAGUGGGGAAUAUUGCACAAUGGGCGCAAGCCUGAUGCAGCCAUGCCGCGUGUGUGAAGAAGGCCUUCGGGUUGUAAAGCACUUUCAGCGGGGAGGCGUUACCCGCAGAAGAAGCACCGGCUAACUCCGUGCCAGCCGCCGCGGUAAUUC